rnacentral:rRNA from 1 species
UCCUGGCUCAGGACGAACGCUGGCGGCGUGCUUCAUACAUGCAAGUCGAACGAGAAGCUGACUUCGGUCAGUGGAAAGUAGGCGGACGGGUGGAGGUAAUGUGUAGAGAAAUCUGCCCUAGAGAGAGGGACAACAGUUGGAAACGACUGCUAAUACCUCAUAUGCGCGUAGCUGAGAUGCUAUUCGUGAAAACUACCGGUGCUCUGGGAGUGAGUCUGCAUCUGAUUAGCUAGUUGGCGGUGUAAUGGACCACCAAGGCGACGAUCAGUAGCUGGUUUGAGAGGAUGAUCAGCCACAAUGGGACUGAGACACGGCCCAUACUCCUACGGGAGGCAGCAGUAGGGAAUUUUGCGCAAUGGGGGAAACCCUGACGCAGCAACGCCGCGUGAUUGAAUAAGCCCUUCGGGGUGUAAAGAUCUGUCAGUAGGGACGAAACUUGACGGUACCUACAGAGGAAGCAUCGGCUAACUCCGUGCCAGCCGCGGC